rnacentral:rRNA from 1 species
UACAGAGGGUGCGAGCGUUGUUCGGAAUUACUGGGCGUAAAGCGCGCGCAGGCGGCUUUUUAAGUCCGACGGUGAAAUGCCGGGGCUCAACCCCGUGCCCGCCGCGGAUACUGGGAAGCUGGAGACGAGUAGAGGCAAGCGGAAUUCCGGGUGUAGCGGUGGAAUGCGUAGAGAUCCGGAAGAACGCCGGAGGCGAAGGCGGCUUGCUGGGCUCGGUCUGACGCUGAGGCGCGAAAGCGUGGGGAGCGAACAGG